rnacentral:rRNA from 1 species
UGCGGGGGGAGCAAGCGUUGUUCGGAUUUACUGGGCGUAAAGGGCGCGUAGGCGGCCACCGCAAGUCAGUUGUGAAAUCUCUGGGCUUAACCCAGAACGGUCAGCUGAUACUGCGGGGCUAGAGUGCAGAAGGGGCAACUGGAAUUCUCGGUGUAGCGGUGAAAUGCGUAGAUAUCGAGAGGAACACCUGCGGCGAAGGCGGGUUGCUGGGCUGACACUGACGCUGACAGCGCGAAAGCUAGGGGAGCGAACGGG